GCCACGGUAGCCUAGUGGUGAAGGCAUCCAGCCUGUCAUGCAAGUAAGAUAUGUCGAGGCUCAAACGUUCUCCCGCUGGUG